rnacentral:lncRNA from 1 species
UAACGGGUGGUUUAUUUCUGGUCCUUUCGGGUCACCUGACCUGGGCUGAUGGUGCUUCGUAACGGCUUUUCUGGAGUCCAGAGGCUCUCUAAGGCUUUGAUGUACUAUUACCUGCCACCAAAACAUCGUGAGGGAUUCAGUGAACGUCUUGAAACUUAGUAACACAAGACAAUUCACUGAAUGGUUGUUGGCUCUACCAGAGGAGUUUGAAAUCAACAACGUGUAACUACUUGGGCAUUGAGACUUCCGCUGCUUGAGGAAGUAUGUGAAAGGAUCGAUGUUGAGCAGAAGUGGGGUUAAAAUAGCCAACAAUGCAUCCCCCUUUACUUAGUAUAGUAGGGCUUGAAAGACUGGACAACUUGUUUUUCUUUCCUGUCCAGUAUUUUCAAUCCAAGCAAAAAUAGGAAAAGCCGCAAGCACCACUAGGCCCGGUCAUUGGUUGAAUGUCAAUAUGGUUCGAUAUUCAUUCCUUACUCAAAUAGGAAGGUGGCAGUCUCAAUCUAGCGGCGUGGUCCAGAACAAUUUCGGAUCCAUGGGGUUUUUGUUUUGGUUACAAGAAGUGAUUCUUUACUCUCUUGCAGCGCCUCGACUCGAGUUUCCACUGUUGGAUUGAGUGAGGUGACAAGAGCUGAAGCCAAGGUUCCUUGCUACACUCCAUAGAUAUUCGUACGAUUCUUGUGGAUUUUGGGUGUGUUUGAAUUUAGCCUCUCGUUAGGUCUUCACUUAAGGAUUGUCCACCUUCUCAAGCCUCUCUACCAUACCCUUAGAAAGUGACAACGGAUGACUUCCAUUACUAAAUGGAAGAACUUUUCAAACUAGUUGAUAGUUGUUCCCUGCCCCACAAUGGGUUCUAAUUUACUAAAUCACAUGUUUCUAUAUUCGGAACAUCACAUGUAGACUUUUUUGGGGGAGAAUCACUCGGCGCGAGGCCUCCCGUGUGAGGUCAGGUGAUGGUCAACAACUCAGGUAGGAAAUGCUGAAAAACGGCUAAUGAUGCAAGAGCUCUUUUCCCCUUAUACGCUCUAAAAAAAGGUAUGUCGGGUUUUUGGACCCUAUGUUGAGUAAGGUUUCCAAACCUUCCAAAAGUGAUAGGUAUGUGUUCUUUCUUGGCACUCUCUUUCUAUAUUAUGCCAACCUAAAAAGAGCGAUGGAAGGUGAAUUUCAGGUUCGAUAGUCUCGAGAAGGUAUUAGCCACCGGUGAUCAUACUUUCGUAAAAGCACCAUUGGGCAGUGGUUCCUCUCCUUCCUCUUCAACCUCGAACAAAAAAUUGAUCUCGCCAUCAGUUCGACUAAGAGUUCUGAAUCAAAAAAGUCAACUAAACUUUACUUAAGACGAAGGAAGCGAGUGCUGAAAAAAACCCGCUUUCUUAAGGUUUCAAACUACUAGUCAUUAAGACUACUAUGAAUGAAAGGUAAGGAAGUCCUUUUCUUGACUUAGCCUGCGUGCAUUAUACCUAACCCUUUCCUAAGAUUUCAAUCUCAACAAAGAAAUGAAAGCAUAACUCUUUGCUUGCUUGUAACGCUUCUUAGUCUUUUAUUUUAGCCUGCCUUGUGAAGAUCUCUCGAGUGUCUACGGCAGAUCUGAUCAGUCUCGCGAUGAAGAGAAUUUCCGAUGUUGAAAGGUAUCAUCACGACAACUCAAUUUGUCCGGUAAACUACUCAGGGCUCCCCAUGGUUUAGUAAAAGGGAGGGGAUAUUUUUUCUUCAUUCGGGUUCAUUCAUUAUGAACUAAAAAGUGGUUGGCUGAUUAGUGAGGUCUUAAAAAUGUCAUAGAAUUCAUGAUCAGCCAUUCCAUUUUUGCUUUCAGCAAGUAAGCGACGCGAAUCUAUGCUUUCUAUCUUUCAAUCGGAUACCAAUUGCUUGGAUGCGUUUGAAAGCUUCGCGAUGACUUGCAGAAAAAAUGCUUUCUAGGUUUGUCUUGUGUCUACGAAACAAACGGUCCAUUUAUUGAUGGGUGAACGACGGGGAGUGAACCCGCGCGUGGUGGAUUCAUAAUCCACUGCCUUGAUCCACUUGGCUACAUCCGCUCCUACCCCCACACAGGUUGAAGUCUCUAUCUACGAUCAGACCCUUUCUGAACUCCCCUAUAACCGCUUAUCAAAUAGAAGCUUUUUCCAUCACUAUAGUGGCAAGUCUAUUGUUGUGUUUUGGAAUUAGGGGAAACAAAGCUUCAAACAAAGAGGUUGGGCUAUUCACUUCAUUGAUUUGACUUCACUUUACUUAAUAUUAAAGAUAGGAGCCGGGCGGGCAAUGAAGGCUCAUUUAGUAGAUAGCGAACGAGCUGCAAGCACCUACUCCUAUCAAAAUAAAAAGCAGGAAGCGAAACUUGAACUUGAAGAAGCGAGCCUCUAUCAGAGAAAGCCAUUGCGCACUAGCCCCUUGUAUAGGGUUCUAAACCUGUGACCCCUAAACUACAAGCUUUCUUUAAAGCCCCUACAACAUGGGAUAUUUGAAGAAUACCCUUUCUAUAAACCUUUCUAUAAUAUAAGAGAAGCUCUUCGAGCUUUCUUCGCAUGCUUAAGCGCAUCCCCUUUCUAUUAGUAAGGUUGUCAAAUUUCCUUUAGUUCCUUUGUGACUAUAAUAUAAAUAAUAGGGGUAGGGGGCGCUAACAAGCAAGAAAAAGGGUCCGCUAAGGCGCAACGGCUUUCACGCAGCUGCUAUGCCCUUGCUUCUUGCCUUAUCUUUUACUAAGAAAAUAAUCUAAAUAGAAGCCUUUCUUUCUCAAAGUCAACUUUCUCCCUUCUUGCUUUAGUGAAAUAGGGGGCGCUAACGCGACCUUUCUUCAACUGGUUUCACCCUAUCUAUUCAUCUAUUUUCUCAAAUGGAUAUUUAGGGAUCUCUCUUGUUAAUAGAUCUUAAAACCAGAUCAAUAUCCAUUUCUCAAUAAAUCUAUUUAUCGAUAGAAAGAUAUAGACAUCUAUAUAGAUCUAUCUCCAUAUCUAAAUAUGGAAGAACCGACACUUAAGGGCGUAACUAACAGAAGGUUCUCACCCUAUCCCCGACAUUAUUCUCCGACGAUGUCCCCUGGGUAAAAGGUGGCCCUUGGACCACUUGACUGGUUGGAAAGGAGCCACCAUUCUCUUUCUUUCUUCUUCCGAUCAGGACAAGUGGGUUGGUUUGUUUUGUCCUCCUAUCUAUGCAAUUCUCUAUCUUCGUUCGUGAUCAUGUUGGGCGAAAGGUAGUUGUAGAGGAGCGUUCAGCCACUAUAAGGAGAGGGCCUUUUUUUUUCUUUAUUUAUUUUAUUUUCUCAUAUUUUGCCUUCUAUAUCUUAUAUAGAUUUUUUAGCGUAUAAUAAUUACCAAUACGAGGACUAUCGACUUCGUUUUCAACUUAUAAUAGAAGGGUCUCCUCUUCCUUCAUUUCGAUUGCUUAUUAGCUUACCGGCUGAACCAUCAUCAUAUGCUUGCUUGGUCACUUUCGUGAUAAGGCGCUUAAAAGGAUUCUGGAUUAUAUAUAUUUUGGGAACUAAAAGAGUGGCUGUUGAAAGGAAAGGGAAGCCAAAAAUUCUAGGGAAUCGACGUCCCCCAAACCAUUAGACUUCCAGGGAAGAAGAGUCCGGUCGCUAUUAAAACCCUUCUCGUAAAUCGAGGAAAUAUCAAAUCCAAUUUCGAUACUGGGUAGGAUUCACCAGCCGCUAGACAUAGCACAGAAGCCAACAGUAGUAUGAAUGGGACAGGAACUAUUUGACCUCUUUCAGGAAAAGUCCGUACACAUGGGGACACUGGCUGAUCCCGCCGACAGGAGCAAAGAAAGGUCUCUUUCGCCUACGAGCAUUUUUAUGAAGAAAGGAGUCUCGUACAAAGGGUUGAAAAGAAGGAUUUUACCUUAUUUCAGGUGGGUUAGUACGUGUCUGUUUGGGCAGAGGCGGACAAUGAAAAGAUAGAAAAGAGCGAAUUAUGCCAACCAACUCGACAAAGACAUUCAGAUAUGAAAAAGAUAAAGAAAUACAUGUUAAGAUGUGUUUUCCCAGCCAACUCGUACACGACCGUCUUUCUUUCGAAAACUUACUCUUGAAAGCAUUACAUGUUGCUACUAGAGGGCAAAAGAAUUAGCUUAUGAUAAAGAAUAACAAGGAAAAAGCUUUUUUCCCCAACGGAGGUGAUAGACCACCUUAUGGCCGAUGUGAUUACCAGCCAAAGGGCAAAAAGAUGGGGUUGAAUGGGACUCUACCAAUACCAAUCUCCUCUGGAGCAAGGAAAAGCAACUCUGCCUGGUAUCUGUAACGAUUAACAUAUUCUUUUUUUUUAGAGAUGGGAACCCUUACUUAAGAAUAGAGAGUGGCCGAGCAGUAUAGUAGUCUUCUGGACAAACUUGGGGUAACAAUCUCGAUAGCAAAAUCGAUAAUAUCCGAGAACGGAACCAUCGAGUUUGCUAAGAGAUUUUGGACUAAGAAUAUGCAAAUAGACUUAUCGCCAAUUUCUCUUAGGGCAUUAACUGUUUGUCGAACGACUGUGGGUCUUUGCCAAUUGUCAGUAAGAUAUUCAAUUUCUAUAUCGAUGCUUCAAAGGCUGGGAGGGGCAGGAUUCAGAGUUCGGUCACGCUUAUAUUCUACUCAAUCUAAGCGUUGGGAAUGAUUGAAAGCUGCUGCUCAGAAACCACACAGGUCACACUUACUAUCUUUAGAAUAUUGGAUUAGAAGGAAGGGCUUCGCUUUUCGAUUGCUUUUUGAGGCCGGUUUGGAUGAGCGUGGGCAAUUUUAGGAUUCACUAUCGCUUUCUGCUUGGAGCGGCUCACCCCCUUAUCACUUAAAGGGCGAAGUCGCUGAAGCGAGUCGAAAGGCCAAAGAGUCAUCUUUGAAGGCUACUAUGCAUCGUUAUUCAUAGUAGAGUGUAAGGUAGAUUUGGGUAUAGCAGGACUUGAACCUUCGACUAUUAGGUUAAAAGCCCAAUGCUCUACCAACUGAGCUAUACACCCAAAAAAAGAUGUAGUAGUAAAUAAGGAUUGGUACGAAAAAGAGGCCGGGCCCCCUUCUUCUCAUCAUACUACAGAGCAAGUAGAAGAAAACAUAAGGUCGCGCGUUAGCACUUCGGAAAGAAAAAGAAUGUGCUAAGGCGCAAGGGCUUUCGCGCAGCUGCUACGCCCUUGCUUCUUGCCCUUUAUUUCAAACUCAAGAAAAGCCUUGUUCGAUAUGAGAAAGAUGCACUCAAGUGGCCAACCUAUACAAGGGGCUUGGGCUCGAAAGCUGGCCUUACUCAAUAAGCACCUUUCUUAGUAAGGUUGCUUCUUUCCACCCAUUGAAGAUUCUAUCUACAAAAGAAGGUCAACGGGGGAUACUCAAAUUGCUCUCACUGACACCAGAGAAGGUGAGGUCAACUUUCUUUCCAGCCACCAUAUGGUUUACCUUAAAGCCUUAAGGAGAAGGGGAUGAGCAGUUAUCUAUGUAAUUACGGUCUUUGUUGGCCGUUGUUCCGGUCGAGCACUCUCUUUUCUUUGUCCAAUUCUAUCCUACCAAACAAGAUUGACUUCUUACCAACCCGCGAAGGGUUGUGAGGCUGGACCAGGUACGAGGAAUGAAUCUAUAUCUGUGUAUGGAAGUUUCUGGCCGGCGGCCGCUCAACUGUUCGAGCGCAAUGCAGUGGUGUUGGUUCCGAUUCGACAAAGGUAGAACGCUUGGUCGAAGGUCCAGUAUAGUAGGUAGCAAGCGUGUUCGUUUUGGCUCCCAAGCGAGAAUGAUAAAUAGGUGAUGCACCAUCCUUACUGCUACGUACAUUUUCCUUGACUUGACAGAUUCAUUCAAUUGAACCCACACUCAAAGGAGGACCACAAACUUGGGGCUCGACGAAACAGAAAGUUUCAGCAUGUUGAAAAUAGGGUUAGCAUAAAAGAAAGAGCCCAACAUUCAUUUCUGAAUGAAUAUUCAUAGCUGAGUCUACUAAAAGAGGGACCAGCCUCGUUGUGGUGAUUAAAGGACACCUCUGAUUGUUCACCUCUAAUGUGACACGUUCCCUCCCAGUUAUAUGAUCAACGGGAUCAGUCAUCUAGAGAGAAGGGCUAUUCUUCUUUCGGGGAGACAAAGUCAUCCCUUCUACUGAUCGAACCCUCAGUUCGAGGGCCUUCAUCAACAUGUUACGAAGCUCCAGUCUUCGAUGGGUCACCAUUACUUGACUUAGAAAGGCGAACAUCUGGGCAAGGGAAAACGUAGUGCGCCUGGUGCAAAUGGCUUUCUUUUUUCAUGAUAUACCAAUCAGAAUAUAGGGUCCUACCUACGUACAUCAUUGAUAGAAUCACUACGUAGGGGGGUGGUCAACUUGAUGCGGGAGAGGCAUGAGUGUAGUUCAAUCUUGUGGUGUAUUCAUUUAUAGUGAGUAGGGCCUCUUUCUCAUUGAUCAGUUCGCCUCCGCUCUAUUGAAAGGUAGGAAUUCCUACGACGGUUUUGUCAACGAACGCGUCUCGGGCCGGAUUGACUAACCUAAACCACCCUGUUGGAGUCUUUUCCAUAGUUGGGUGUCCGCUUUAGUGUGGUUUACGAAGGCUAGGCUAGGUUUGGUAAUAUCCAAAACAAAUGAAAAGAGAUCGGGGUUGAUAGGUGGUAGUUGGCAAGGAACUUGAUCCCCCCCCCCAAAAAAAAGGGGGAAGCCGCAGUCAAACUUAAAUUCUGGAAAUAAGUCUGGCCCUUUUUACCAAGUCUACCAGAUAGAAGAUGAUAGAGGGCCAACUAUCGUUGCCUUGCACAAGACGGUGCCCUUUCACUUUGAGUUCCUUCCUUCGUAGUCAAAUCUGAUGAUACUCUUUGGUGAUGUUACCUACCAAAUAAAAGGCCUACUGGGUGAUCGAAAUCUCUCAGGUGAGGACUCACUCACUCAUCUACUCCUUAUCUAUUUAAUACUUUCUUCUAUCUACAACAAAUAUUUCAAAGGCGACCCACCGCGCCGGGCUAUAAGAUAAGAUACAGUUCUUGUACUACUUGAUUGACUGGUAAGAAAGAGCUUCCAUAAGAACAGGAAGACUCUUGUAUGUACGGUAACCCUCUCUUCCGCUACUGGUGGACUAUUGCACAGAAAGGGCGAUAAAAAGAACCUUUCUUAGCGCGUUUUUUAAGUGCUUAUCUUCUACUAGUGGGGGGCGGCAAGGCCACGUUGUUCAGUUGGAAGCCUAAGCCCAGAAGGUAUGAACGAAGUAAGGGGCCCUUUUAGAAGAUAGGGGGCGGCUUUCUUCUGGUAGUAAUUGCGAACAUCUCUCCUCUUCUCUUAGCGUGCACAGUUUGCUUACAUGCUGCCUUAGGCACAUCUCUAUUUCUUAGUUUCACGCUGGACUAAUGAUAAUGAAUGAAAGUCAGUCUUUUAGUAAACGUAUAUAAGCAGCUCUUUAGUGUAUAAGCAAUUUUGUAGUGGUCGCACCAAAAGUACGGUGGAGGUUGGCUGAAGAUGAUGUUACGCGGCGUUCAGAACCAGUCUUGAAGUAAAUGAAUUAUAAAGAAGUAAGGAAAUGAGACGACUCUUUCUUGAACUAUAUCAUAAAUAGAUCUUCCUCUCCACACCAAUCAUGAGUUUUUCUCUAUUC